rnacentral:rRNA from 1 species
AGACGUCUACAUUAGACUACCCGGGUAGUCCCAGCCGUAAACUAUGCGCGUUAGGUGUAUCGGUGACCACGAGUCACCGAGGUGCCGAAGGGAAACCGUGAAACGUGCCGCCGUGGGAAGUACGGUCGCAAGGCUAGAAACUUAAAGGAAUUGGCGGGGAGCACCACAACGGGUGGAGCCUGCGGUUUAAUUGGACUCAACGCCGGGAAGCUCACCGGAUAAGACAGCGGAAUGAUUGCCGGGCUGAAGACUCUGCAUGACUAGCUG